GGAGUAACUAUUGGAAACGAUAGCUAAUACCGCAUAAAAGUCGAUAUCGCAUGAUAUUGAUUUGAAAGGUGCAAUUGCAUCACUAAGAGAUGGACCUGCGUUGUAUUAGCUAGUUGGUGAGGUAACGGCUCACCAAGGCGACGAUACAUAGCCGACCUGAGAGGGUGAUCGGCCACACUGGGACUGAGACACGGCCCAG
rnacentral:rRNA from 1 species